GGGACAUAAUAAGAUAGCCACAAUUAGGUUAAAAGACAACACAAAGGAAUGGCUGUUUAUAUAAUAGUCACCUUCUUCCAGUAACUCUUAAUUGUGUGUGUAUUAAAAUUGACAACGCUUUCCGAGUUCUAAUCUGUUUGCCUCCCAUGGCUUUUGACACACUGAAUGUUUCAGCUUGCACUUUUCUUGUGUCUAAUUUAUUUCAAAAGCAAGCGCUAAGUGUUGUCUAAGUGAGGACAGUUUUUGGAUGAAUGCUGUCUGUGACCUCCUACUUCCUUUAUGUUAUGCCUGAGAAAUGAGCCCUCUAUAGGUUUUGUUUUGUUCGUUUUAGAACUUAGACAGUUUUUCCUUAUGGAUUAUUACAUCAUCAUUUUUUUGUAGAAAUUCUGAAGACUCUUGAUCUGUAUGACGUACCACUGAGAUUUGUAUUUUCCAUUACAGAAAAUUUCAAACCCAAGACGGGAAGAAAAUGAUCAGUGUCACCAGGCUUCAGUAAUGUGUUCGUUCAGGGAGCCGUUUGUGACAUACGGAGGUAAAACGCACAGAAGCGUCGCACCCAACUUCGAAUACUACCUGCAGGCACGUCUGAGCCACCCCACGCCGCCCGAUCUAUCUGAUGACCAGGCACAAAGACAGUAUAAUCGACAGACUUUGCCCCUCCUGGUUGAUUCCCUAAAUUCCCCUGAAGUGUGGGUUGCUGGUUGUCAGAUGGAUUCCAAUGCUAGAGAGCUUGAUCCCAGAGUGGCCCUAGCAACCUUCGCCUUCAUUUUUACCCAUUCGGUCACAAAUGAAAUCUGUGGUGGCAGAUCCUAAGUGGAAUUCAGGUGCCAGGUAGCCCAACAUCCUUACCGAGGAGAAGCCGUUUGCAGCUCCCAUAAAUACAGAACUUUGAUGCGUGAAUUGUUACCGAGAUGAGCAGGUGCUGGUAGAGUUCUCAGACGAGUCCACAAGUUCUCCAGUUGGCAGAGCUUGACUUUAAUUAAGACAGUUCUGUGUGGGGGAGACGUGUCCCUAUCCCAUAACGGUGCCGGAGAAGAGGAGGAGACACAUUUACGUCUACAACAUGUUUCAUUAAACAAUAGCUGGUUUCCAUAUUUUUCUGGUUCAUCUUAUAAUUUGCCAUCACCUUCCAGAACUCCCAGACCCCUUCUUAGUUUUAACCCGAAAUGGUGUAAACACCCAAACUCUAAACACGCUACUGGUUACACUCAUUCCUGGCUGUGCAUGGGAACAGACUCCAUGCGCUCACUAUUUGCUCUCCUCUGUCUCGAUGUGCAGCACCCCAGCUGGAGAGGCUACCAUGGAUAAAGGGAGAAAGCCCCUUCCCUCUCCCACCAUCACUGACUCGGGCAUCAGCCUUCAGUUCUGUGUUAAUUCUUCUGUUGGGUGUGGAGGGGAGAAGUAUCAGCUUCCCUUUACCUGCUGCAAAGCUCGUGGAUGAGAGCAGAAAACGAUGACAGACUUGUUUGUCAUCCUCCUAACCCUACCUGCCCUUGGGGGUUGGGAGUGAGUUGGCAUAGGGUCCACCCACUCUGGGAGCAGGUGAGAAACAAGCUCACAAGCACUGAUGCAAGCUCCUUUAAUACCCUCCACCCACGCCCCCAUUGGUCCCGAGAAAGUAUCUAUUCUAAACAGCAGUUCCUGAUUGGCUGAUGUUAUUUGCACCAGCAAUCCUUGUCCUCUCAGGCAGUCCUCAACUAGGUCCUCCUGCAGGAGAUGUUUCUGCAGCUGGACGGCCCCCAGCGUUUAUACAGAAGCAGCCCUGCCGUUCCUGUCACACUGCCAGUAAAUAGAUUGUACUCGACAAAGGGCUGUUUAUCCAUGUUCUUCAGGCUCCCAAUCUCUCUAAUCCGAGAAUUCUUCNGCGACUCUGAGCAU
rnacentral:lncRNA from 1 species